CUCAUGCUGGGACCUACUACUGUGCUGUUGCCUCCUGUGGACACAUACUGUUUGGAAACGGGACCAAGCUGGACUUUGAGGGUGGCGUGGACUCUGGUUUCUUGGUGCAUUUCUCCAGUAUAGCUUUGACAUUCACCACCAUCCUGAGUGUUUUACUGGCUUUCUUAGUGUGCAUGAUGAACAAGAAAAACAGCUGCCAAUCCACAGUUCCGUCCACAGCAGAAGCCGAGGAGUACCAACGUGGAGAAAAGAUCUACUAUGCUGCUUUAGGUGUGAACAUGAAAAACAGAUCAAGAAGACAGAGGGAUCCAACCUGGAGUGAAUGUGUGUAUUACAGCGUAAAGCAGUAGAACCUGACAUGGUGCAAUUUGUAAUUUUGAGUAAAACAUGUGUUUUUGUUUUCUCUUCCUUGUGGUCCGUAGCAAAUUUUUUUUUUUUUUCCGUAGAUGUACAUUUUAGCAUAGUAUUUUUCCACUUUGUGGUCGAAGCAGGAGAUGACCGAAACGUUCUUUCAAAUAAACCAUCUACUGCAUCUAAAGAUAUAUGAUUUUUUUAGUACUUGUAUGACUUAACCUGUAGCCUAUAUUUAGAAGCUAAGAUGCUGUAAAAGUCACUUCAAUACUUUUAAGUUUAGGACCUUCUUAUUUUUUUUUACCAAAUCAAAUGUGUAAUUUUGUUUGUGCAAUUUCUGUCA